GUCGUGAGAUGUUGGGUUAGGUCCCGCAACGAGCGCAACCCCUAUGGUAUGUGGCUACCAUUAAGUUGAGCACUCAUGCGAUACUGCCUGCGAUGAGCAGGAGGAAGGUGGGGAUGACGUCAAGUCAUCAUGCCCCGUAUACGAUGGGCUACACACGUGCUGCAAUGGGCAGUACAGAGAGUUGCCAACCCGCGAGGGUGUGCUAAUCUCUUAAAGCUGUUCUUAGUUCGGAUUGUACUCUGCAACUCGAGUACAUGAAGUUGGAAUCGCUAGUAAUCGCAACUCAGCAUGUUGCGGUGAAUACGUUCUCGGGUCGUGUACACACCGCCCGGCGCACCACGAGAGUUGGUUGCUCCUGAAGUAGCAGGCGUAAGCGUAAGGAGGGAUGUUCCUAAGGUGUGAUUAUCGAUUGGGGUGAAGUCGGAACAAGGUA
rnacentral:rRNA from 1 species